rnacentral:tRNA from 1 species
GCGCCUGUAGCUCAGCAGGAUAGAGCGACCGCCUCCUAAGCGGUAGGUCGGAGGUUCGAAUCCCUCAGGCGUGCCA